rnacentral:lncRNA from 10 species
UGGAGGACCUGGCCGGUCGAUCCGCCCGGGCUGGAAAACUUUCUUUAUAAUUACUUCUCCAGGUCGGAGCGCGCGGCUUGCUAGGCGCGCGGGGCCGGCGCUGUUACCCGGCGUGGAGUCGCCGAUUUUUUUUCCUGCGGGACCGCGGGGCCCCCCAGACUAGCGGAGCUGGACGCCGGGGCGAGCACGGGGAGGGGCGCACCGAGGGAGGAGACAAACUUAACUCUGGGGCCGGGAUUCCGAGGCGGGGGCCGCAGCCCUCGAGGCCCGAAGCCACCGCUUCCUCCCCCGCCUCCCCAUUCAGGUGGGCGCCAACGGCGGGAGCGAGGGUGUCCAGGCCGCCGGGCUGCCAGGUCCGAGCACGCACAGGGAGAACUCUGCCCAGUGGUUCGCCGGGCGCUGUAGUCCCCGGGAUCCUAGGGACCGAGGCGGCCAGGCCCUGGGGCCCCUUGAGUGCGGCAGCUAAUGCUCUCACCGCGGCGGGGGAAGGAGCUUGCCACCGAGACCCCCAGCCACGUGCGUCCCUCGCAUUCUUUACCGGGGCCGGGGUGGCGGCUACGGACCGUCAGCUGGGCCCAGAUGGAGUCUUGGGAGCCCUCAAGUGUCUCCUGUCCUUGCCCGCGCCGCCCCUCGCCACUGGCGCUGAGGCCUGACGCCGCCUGCGUCCCGGCUAGAGGCGCGCUUGCCUACAGGUGAGGGAAGACCCCCUUCACCGACAGUGGCCUUAGGCCUGGCAAGGCGCCACGACCCGCCCAGGAGCCCCGGAGGGGGCACAGCUAAAAACACCGCUGGAGAGCCCCGAGCUUCCACGACGAUCGCAGUAAAGAAGCAGUUUCAUCUGGGCAACGCACACUGCGCUUUAAUCAAGUUCCUAUUCAACAUAGUCCCAGUGAUUAAUAGCCCAACUGCUUCGUUUUCGGUCCAGAGCUCAUAAACAAGAUAUUUUUAGCUUGACGCUUUUGGACGGGAGGGAGUAAAAACCAGAUACGUUAAAUAAAUAUCCCGAUGUGAGCCGGAGAGCUGCUUGCUGAGCCAAAUGCAGGACCCAUUCAUAUAGCAUUCACCUGUGGAGGGAGACCUGGACGGAAAUCAAAAAGCACCAAGAGCGAUUUGCGUUUUUUUCUGCGGUGCUAAAACUAAUGGCUUUUCCUACCUAGGAACAAAGAAACGCCACUGUACAUGCACGGUUCCCGGCCUGUGGAGUUGUGGGAGGAAGGCGAUGUCUGGCCUUUUUUGCACAGCUGCUGUUGCCUGCCCAGAGAUCGGGAACUCUGCCCCGUAGGACUGGAAGAAACCUCAGUAAUGGGAAUAAGACUUUGUCCAAUAGGGGGCUGAUGAAUGUGUGGGGGCGACAAUGGCAAGGAGUGGGACUCCCGGCCCGGGGUUCGCCAACCCCAGGGGCCACAGGUCCUCCUACAAUUGAACCAGAAUUCACCCACCCGGGCCUGCCCUGUGCAGGGUGCCGAGAGCCCAGGGAUGCAUGAGAGGGUGGCUCCUGCCUCUGGGAACUGGGACAGUGGGAGAGACGGAUAAGUUGUCACACAGAGGCUGCUGGGAGGAAGGAGGAGACAGAAGGAGUAGGGGAUGGGACUUCAUUCAUUCAUCAAAUGCACACGAGGCACAAAUGGGAAUCAAGGGUGGAUGUGCUGUGAUGAAGAGAAGUCCUGCCCUGAACAAGGUGGCGCUGUGGAGGAGGCAGAGAUCAGAUUUGUCUGCGGAGGUGUUAUGGACUGAACUGUGUCCCUGCCCCAAAUUCCUAUGUUGAAGGCCUAACCCCCAUGUGACUGUAUUUGGAGAUAAGGCUUUUAGGAAGUCAUUAAAGUGAGAUGAUGUCAUAUGGGUAGGGUCCUAAUUUGAUAGGAUUGGUGGCCUUAUCAGAAGAACAAUGUCAUGGGCAUGCACAGAAAGGAGGUGGCCGUCUGCAAGCAGGGAAGAGGCCCCUCACCAGAACCUGAGGGUGCUGGCAGCUUGGCUUUGGCCUUGGGCAUCCAGCCUCCAGAACCAUGAGAAAUAAAUGUUUAUGGUAGGUCUAUGAUGGCAGCCUGCUUGGACUGAACCGGCGGUGAGACAGGGCUUCAUGCAGGAGCAGACCUUUGAGCUGGGCCUUGAAAGUUGAGCAGGAAUUUGCUGGAAGGAUAAGGGAGGAAGGCUCUUCUAGGAGGAGGGAAUGGUAAGUGCAAAGGUGGAGAGCCUGCCAGUGCAUGUGUUCUGGUAACAAAGAACGAG